rnacentral:piRNA from 2 species
UCAUUAGACUACUUCCUGCUGAUUAGGGGU